CAGCAGCCACGGUAAUACGUAGGGUGCAAGCGUUAAUCGGAAUUACUGGGCGUAAAGCGUGCGCAGGCGGUUAUAUAAGUCAGAUGUGAAAUCCCCGGGCUCAACCUGGGAACUGCAUUUGAGACUGUAUGGCUAGAGUGUGUCAGAGGGGGGUAGAAUUCCACGUGUAGCAGUGAAACGCGUAGAUAUGUGGAGGAAUACCGAUGGCGAAGGCAGCCCCCUGGGAGAACACUGAUGCUCAUGCACGAAAGCGUGGGGAGCAAACAGGAUUAGAUACCCCCGUAGUCCCUGUCUCUUAUAA
rnacentral:rRNA from 1 species